rnacentral:tRNA from 1 species
GCCUCUGUAGCUCAAAGGAGAGAGCACUGGCCUUCUAAGCCGGGGAUAGAGGUUCGAUUCCUCUCAGAGGCA